CCUACGGGAGGCUGCAGUGGGGAAUAUUGGACAAUGGGGGCAACCCUGAUCCAGCCAUGCCGCGUGUGUGAAGAAGGCCCUCGGGUUGUAAAGCACUUUCAGUGAGGAAGAACGCCUGGUGGUUAAUACCCAUCAGGAAAGACAUCACUCACAGAAGAAGCACCGGCUAACUCCGUGCCAGCAGCCGCGGUAAUACGGAGGGUGCGAGCGUUAAUCGGAAUUACUGGGCGUAAAGCGCGCGUAGGUGGCUUGAUAAGCCGGUUGUGAAAGCCCCGGGCUCAACCUGGGAACGGCAUCCGGAACUGUCAAGCUAGAGUGCAGGAGAGGAAGGUAGAAUUCCCGGUGUAGCGGUGAAAUGCGUAGAGAUCGGGAGGAAUACCAGUGGCGAAGGCGGCCUUCUGGACUGACACUGGCACUGAGGUGCGAAAGCGUGGGUAGCAAACAGGAUUAGAUACCCGAGUAGUC
rnacentral:rRNA from 1 species